rnacentral:lncRNA from 1 species
GAUGCGAUCAUACCAGCACUAAAGCACCGGAUCCCAUCAGAACUCCGAAGUUAAGCGUGCUUGGGCGAGAGUAGUACUAGGAUGGGUGACCUCCUGGGAAGUCCUCGUGUUGCAUUCCUUUUUUUUGUUUGUUUUUUCAAAAGAAAGGUCUUUCUUUUUAUUUUUGGCCGUUCCUUUGUCAUAUUUUCUCCGCGUUCCUAGGCGGCGCCGUCGAAGGAGCUAUGGGCAGGCCGUACACGGAGGCGCGGGCAUAAAGGGGAGGAGAACGCACGGUAUGUCGGAUGCGAUCAUACCAGCACUAAAGCACCGGAUCCCAUCAGAACUCCGAAGUUAAGCGUGCUUGGGCGAGAGUAGUACUAGGAUGGGUGACCUCCUGGAAAGUCCUCGUGUUGCAUUCCUUUUUUUUGUUUGUUUUUUCAAAAGAAAGGUCUUUCUUUUUAUUUUUGGCCGUUCCUUUGUCAUAUUUUCUCCGCGUUCCUAGGCGGCGCCGUCGAAGGAGCUAUGGGCGGGCCGUACACGGAGGCGCGGGCAUAAAGGGGAGGAGAACGCACGGUAUGUCGGAUGCGAUCAUACCAGCACUAAAGCACCGGAUCCCAUCAGAACUCCGAAGUUAAGCGUGCUUGGGCGAGAGUAGUACUAGGAUGGGUGACCUCCUGGGAAGUCCUCGUGUUGCAUUCCUUUUAUUUGUUUGUUUUUUCAAAAGAAAGGUCUUUCUUUUUAUUUUUGGCCGUUCCUUUGUCAUAUUUUCUCCGCGUUCCUAGGCGGCGCCGUCGAAGGAGCUAUGGGCGGGCCGUACACGGAGGCGCGGGCAUAAAGGGGAGGAGAACGCACGGUAUGUCGGAUGCGAUCAUACCAGCACUAAAGCACCGGAUCCCAUCAGAACUCCGAAGUUAAGCGUGCUUGGGCGAGAGUAGUACUAGGAUGGGUGACCUCCUGGGAAGUCCUCGUGUUGCAUUCCUUUUUUUUGUUUGUUUUUUCAAAAGAAAGGUCUUUCUUUUUAUUUUUGGCCGUUCCUUUGUCAUAUUUUCUCCGCGUUCCUAGGCGGCGCCGUCGAAGGAGCUAUGGGCGGGCCGUACACGGAGGCGUUUGUUUUUUCAAAAGAAAGGUCUUUCUUUUUAUUUUUGGCCGUUCCUUUGUCAUAUUUUCUCCGCGUUCCUAGGCGGCGCCGUCUAAGGAGCUAUGGGCGGGCCGUACACUGAGGCGCGUUGCAUAAAUGGGAGGAGAACGCACGGUAUGUCGGAUGCGAUCAUACCAGCACUAAAGCACCGGAUCCCAUCAGAACUCCGAAGUUAAGCGUGCUUGGGCGAGAGUAGUACUAGGAUGGGUGACCUCCUGGGAAGUCCUCGUGUUGCAUUCCUUUUAUUUGUUUGUUUUUUCAAAAGAAAGGUCUUUCUUUUUAUUUUUGGCCGUUCCUUUGUCAUAUUUUCUCCGCGUUCCUAGGCGGCGCCGUCGAAGGAGCUAUGGGCGGGCCGUACACUGAGGCGCGUGCUUAAAGGGGAGGAGAACGCACGGUCUGUCGGAUGCGAUCAUACCAGCACUAAUUCACCGGAUCCCAUCAGAACUCCUAACUUAAGCGUGCUUGGGCGAGAGUAGUACUAGGAUGGGUGACCUCCUGGGAAGUCCUCGUGUUGCAUUCCAUUUAUGUCGUUUCUUUUUUCAAAAGAAAGGUCUUUCUUUUUAUUUUUGGCCGUUCCUUUGUCAUAUUUUCUCCGCGUUCCUAGGCGGCGCCGUCGAAGGAGCUAUGGCCGGCCCGUACACGGAGGCGCGAGCAUAAAGGGGAGGAGAACGCACGGUAUGUCGGAUGCGAUCAUACCAGCACUAAAGCACCGGAUCCCAUCAGAACUCCGAAGUUAAGCGUGCUUGGGCGAGAGUAGUACUAGGAUGGGUGACCUGAUGGGAAGUCCUCGUGUUGCAUUCCUUUUUUUUGUUUGUUUUUUCAAAAGAAAGGUCUUUCUUUUUAUUUUUGGCCGUUCCUUUGUCAUAUUUUCUCCGCGUUCCUAGGCGGCGCCGUCGAAGGAGCUAUGGGCGGGCCGUACACGGAGGCGUUUGUUUUUUCAAAAGAAAGGUCUUUCUUUUUAUUUUUGGCCGUUCCUUUGUCAUAUUUUCUCCGCGUUCCUAGGCGGCGCCGUCGAAGGAGCUAUGGGCGGGCCGUACACGGAGGCGCGGGCAUAAAGGGGAGGAGAACGCACGGUAUGUCGGAUGCGAUCAUACCAGCACUAAAGCACCGGAUCCCAUCAGAACUCCGAAGUUAAGCGUGCUUGGGCGAGAGUAGUACUAGGAUGGGUGACCUCCUGGGAAGUCCUCGUGUUGCAUUCCUUUUUUUUGUUUGUUUUUUCAAAAGAAAGGUCUUUCUUUUUAUUUUUGGCCGUUAAUUUGUCAUAUUUUCUCCGCGUUCCUAGGCGGCGCCGUCGAAGGAGCUAUGGGCGGGCCGUACACGGAGGCGUUUGUUUUUUCAAAAGAAAGGUCUUUCUUUUUAUUUUUGGCCGUUCCUUUGUCAUAUUUUCUCCGCGUUCCUAGACGGCGCCGUCGAAGGAGCUAUGGGCGGGCCGUACACGGAGGCGCGGGCAUAAAGGGGAGGAGAACGCACGGUAUGUCGGAUGCGAUCAUACCAGCACUAAAGCACCGGAUCCCAUCAGAACUCCGAAGUUAAGCGUGCUUGGGCGAGAGUAGUACUAGGAUGGGUGACCUCCUGGGAAGUCCUCGUGUUGCAUUGCUUUUUUUUGUUUGUUUUUUCAAAAGAAAGGUCUUUCUUUUUAUUUUUGGCCGUUCCUUUGUCAUAUUUUCUCCGCGUUCCUAGGCGGCGCCGUCGAAGGAGCUAUGGGCGGGCCGUACACGGAGGCGCGGGCAUAAAGGGGAGGAGAACGCACGGUAUGUCGGAUGCGAUCAUACCAGCACUAAAGCACCGGAUCCCAUCAGAACUCCGAAGUUAAGCGUGCUUGGGCGAGAGUAGUACUAGGAUGGGUGACCUCCUGGGAAGUCCUCGUGUUGCAUUCCUUUUUUUUGUUUGUUUUUUCAAAAGAAAGGUCUUUCUUUUUAUUUUUGGCCGUUCCUUUGUCAUAUUUUCUCCGCGUUCCUAGGCGGCGCCGUCGAAGGAGCUAUGGGCGGGCCGUACACGGAGGCGCGGGCAUAAAGGGGAGGAGAACGCACGGUAUGUCGGAUGCGAUCAUACCAGCACUAAAGCACCGGAUCCCAUCAGAACUCCGAAGUUAAGCGUGCUUGGGCGAGAGUAGUACUAGGAUGGGUGACCUCCUGGGAAGUCCUCGUGUUGCAUUCCUUUUUUUUGUUUGUUUUUUCAAAAGAAAGGUCUUUCUUUUUAUUUUUGGCCGUUCCUUUGUCAUAUUUUCUCCGCGUUCCUAGGCGGCGCCGUCGAAGGAGCUAUGGGCGGGCCGUACACGGAGGCGUUUGUUUUUUCAAAAGAAAGGUCUUUCUUUUUAUUUUUGGCCGUUCCUUUGUCAUAUUUUCUCCGCGUUCCUAGGCGGCGCCGUCGAAGGAGCUAUGGGCGGGCCGUACACGGAGGCGCGGGCAUAAAGGGGAGGAGAACGCACGGUAUGUCGGAUGCGAUCAUACCAGCACUAAAGCACCGGAUCCCAUCAGAACUCCGAAGUUAAGCGUGCUUGGGCGAGAGUAGUACUAGGAUGGGUGACCUCCUGGGAAGUCCUCGUGUUGCAUUCCUUUUAUUUGUUUGUUUUUUCAAAAGAAAGGUCUUUCUUUUUAUUUUUGGCCGUUCCUC